UAUAGAGCACUGGGUCAGAUUCAUACAUGC
rnacentral:piRNA from 1 species